UACAGAGACUGCAAGCGUUAUUCGGAUUCACUGGGCGUAAAGGGUGCGCAGGCGGCCGUGUGUGUCAGGUGUGAAAGCCCGGAGCUUAACUCCGGAAUUGCGCCUGAAACUACAUGGCUAGAGCAUUGGAGAGGGAAGUGGAAUUCCUGGUGUAGCGGUGAAAUGCGCAGAUAUCAGGAGGAACACCGGUGGCGAAGGCGGUUCUCUGGGCCUUACCUGACGCUGAGGAGCGAAAGCCUGGGGAGCAAACAGG
rnacentral:rRNA from 1 species